CGGACAGCGUUUAUGUCGCCUCUUUCUUUUCCCUUUGGACGCUCCGGCGAAUCUUCAUCUCUGUCAACUGGAUGUAGCGGAUGGCGUUGGUGUCUGGAAAAACAAAGACGGGAAAAGGCUGAUUUCUUUCCUGCUCGGACAGGAAAUGGCACAUCAAUAUGCACAUAAAUCCUCCAUAAGGAACUACAAGUGAAAAUGUAUAACGGAGAGAUAAAGGGUGGACUGCGGCCUUCAAUGAAGCUGGUUGUUAUGGGAAUUAUUAACCAAAAAGCCAAGAAGUAAGUGCACACCUUUUCUUUUCAUUGUCAUAAAAAAAAGAGGAUUAUACAUUAUUGAUACAGCCAACUGUUGCACAGUGGAAACCAGUUAAAGAAACAGGAUUUGAGAUGUCUGUGUUUGAGUUCAUAGCCACAGUCCCUGUUUUGGGAAUAUAUCUUUGUAAUGCCAGUGCAUUUCCUAAUUAUUUUUAGUUUCCAGAUACAACGCCAUGUUUUUCUUCUUCUAGUUAAUCCUGCGUGUUGUUAAAAGGCUCCCACAGAACCAACGCCGGCGGACAAUUAUCUUAUCGAUCAAGUGAAACGUGAACAAAAGUGCAGUUAUUGAUUGUUUUUAUAACUUCAGCAAAGCUCAAAUUCAAAGAGAUGAACCAUUUAAGAGAAAAAAAUUAUAAUAAAAUAGUUGAAUCUUGAGAAUAAUCUAUGACAGAUGUUUUCCCUAAUCAGGAUGAAUCGCACGUUCACGUUUAAAAAAUAUAUUUUAAUUAGUGCUACUAUUAAUUCAUGGCACCCAUUUAAAAAACACAUACAUGCAUCAUAUAACAAAAAAGGGACCACAUCACAAACAGUAUCACUGAGUGAGAAAAGCAAGAAGCUAAGUUUGUUCUGUUAUUCACAGCUAUGGUUCCCAAAAUAAGGCCCUGGGACCGCUGCAGGUCCCUGACAGGUACUUAGGAGGGCCCCAGAAUAGUAUUACACUUUUAUUUCUCUCCCUGGAUGUUACAGUGUUUUAUUAAAAUUAUACUUUACAUAAAUGUGGUUUAUUUAUUCAAUUUUACCCUCAUCUGCUCUCCAAUUUAUGCCGAAGCCUUUGAGUCUGGCUGGAACAACCGUGGAAGAAGAACAUAAAAAGGGUUUUGGAUGCUAGUCGUGAUUUAUGGUUACUAGCGCGCAGGUGACGCAGUGCGCAUACCUGCCAAUGGUCUCACUUCAUUCCACUAUUCCUCAGGUGGCAGCAACAUGCAAAGAGGUGAGGCAAUGCAAAAACAAAGGCAGGGAAGAGGAAGAAGGAGAAGACCGCAAGCAAAUAGACGUGAACGCAAACGAUCCACAUAAACCGGCUCUGUAAAAAAGACCUAAAGUCAACAUACAUUUUGUUUGUUUGACACAUCUUUUUAAUAAGAAGUUCCACUGACAUGGCUGCAAACAGCUCUAAAUAUUCUCUUCAUAUAAUGGUUCCUGCCAGUCACCGGCCUCCUCUCCUGCACUGGUGCCAAGUGUUUCCCACCGCCAGUCGUUACCUGACGUCCACGCCCACCUGCACACCUGUGUCCAAUCACAUAAUUCGGCCCGAUCCCGAUGUCCCCCUCUCCAGGCCUUAAAGGUAUUUGAGCGUGAGGACUGAAAUGGUAUAAAUACGAACGGGUCAGCACUUUGCUGCGACAAAUCACGUUACCAUGACGACGUCAUUAAAUGUCACGUACAAUUGUGGGUAUUUAAGAAGAAAAGUUUUACUCCCUGCUUUGAACAUCUUCCAGGCUACUAAAUGAAGUGAUUGAUGAAUAAAUCCGGCGUGUAAUAUGA